GCAGUUUAAUUUCUUUGUUUGUUCUUGAAUUGACGUAGAAUGGAGCAAAGGCUCAUGGGAUUGGGAAAUGCGUUUAUCCAAUAAACAGAUGGAGGUCAAGUCUAUUUAUUAAAUUAAUUUUUGAUUAAAACCGUGCAUUCUGUGUGAAUGUGUAUUUGAAUGUUAACAUUUCGUUUUUAGUUAUGUAAUCAUUUGAAAGUCCCUUCAAGUUGAAAAAGCACAUGCAUUCUUAUUAUGGCCACACCUGGCGUACUAAAUCAACUGUGAUCAGAUUGGUUAAAAAAUAGAGGCUGCGUGUGAUUUCAGUUCCGGUUCAAUGCAUUUGUAAUGAGGGGGCGCACUUCUGUGCAGUGUGCACAUUAGUCGUCGUUGCCAGCAGGCUGCACCCGACAGCCAAGGGAUUUACAUGUGGCAUAGCAAGAAGAUGAAGGAGAAUGCGUGCAGUGGGCUGAAUAGAGAAUUCGUGAAUCAAAGGCAACACCAUCAAAUGCAUUAUGAAAUUAAGCACUAUCAGGUUGUCAAGGCUGUAGCUCAGCGGGCACAUGGUCCUGGAUACCUGAUAUAUAUAUAUAUUUUUUUUUAACUAUUUAUAUAUGGAAUCUGAAUGCACUCCAAGAAAUGCUGCAGUUCUUUGGG
ensembl:lncRNA